rnacentral:rRNA from 1 species
CGGCGCACGGGUGAGUAACACGUAUCCAACCUGCCGUCUAUCUGGCCAGCUUCUGAAAGGAAAUUAAUCCAGGAUGGCAUCAUGAGUUCACAUGUCCGCAUGAUUAAAGGUAUUUUCCGGUAGACGAUGGGGAUGCGUUCCAUUAGAUAGUAGGCGGGGUAACGGCCCACCUAGUCAACGAUGGAUAGGGGUUCUGAGAGGAAGGUCCCCCACAUUGGAACUGAGACACGGUCCAAACUCCUACGGGAGGCAGCAGUGAGGAAUAUUGGUCAAUGGGCGAUGGCCUGAACCAGCCAAGUAGCGUGAAGGAUGACUGCCCUAUGGGUUGUAAACUUCUUUUAUAAAGGAAUAAAGUCGGGUAUGCAUACCCGUUUGCAUGUACUUUAUGAAUAAGGAUCGGCUAACUCCGUGCCAGCAGCCGCGGUAAUACGGAGGAUCCGAGCGUUAUCCGGAUUUAUUGGGUUUAAAGGGAGCGUAGAUGGAUGUUUAAGUCAGUUGUGAAAGUUUGCGGCUCAACCGUAAAAUUGCAGUUGAUACUGGAUGUCUUGAGUGCAGUUGAGGCAGGCGGAAUUCGUGGUGUAGCGGUGAAAUGCUUAGAUAUCACGAAGA